rnacentral:rRNA from 1 species
GGGACACGUGGUAUCCUGUCUGAAUAUGGGGGGACCAUCCUCCAAGGCUAAAUACUCCUGACUGACCGAUAGUGAACCAGUACCGUGAGGGAAAGGCGAAAAGAACCCCGGCGAGGGGAGUGAAAAAGAACCUGAAACCGUGUACGUACAAGCAGUGGGAGCACGCUUAGGCGUGUGACUGCGUACCUUUUGUAUAAUGGGUCAGCGACUUAUAUUCUGUAGCAAGGUUAACCGAAUAGGGGAGCCGAAGGGAAACCGAGUCUUAACUGGGCGUUAAGUUGCAGGGUAUAGACCCGAAACCCGGUGAUCUAGCCAUGGGCAGGUUGAAGGUUGGGUAACACUAACUGGAGGACCGAACCGACUAAUGUUGAAAAAUUAGCGGAUGACUUGUGGCUGGGGGUGAAAGGCCAAUCAAACCGGGAGAUAGCUGGUUCUCCCCGAAAGCUAUUUAGGUAGCGCCUCGUGAAUUCAUCUCCGGGGGUAGAGCACUGUUUCGGCAAGGGGGUCAUCCCGACUUACCAACCCGAUGCAAACUGCGAAUACCGGAGAAUGUUAUCACGGGAGACACACGGCGGGUGCUAACGUCCGUCGUGAAGAGGGAAACAACCCAGACCGCCAGCUAAGGUCCCAAAGUCAUGGUUAAGUGGGAAACGAUGUGGGAAGGCCCAGACAGCCAGGAUGUUGGCUUAGAAGCAGCCAUCAUUUAAAGAAAGCGUAAUAGCUCACUGGUCGAGUCGGCCUGCGCGGAAGAUGUAACGGGGCUAAACCAUGCACC